GGCGCUAUAGCCAAGUGGUUACGGCGACAGAUUAGAAUUUGCAUUCAUUCACUGGUAAUCUGUUCCUCUUUGAGGGCGCAGGUUCGAAUCCUGCUGGCGUCG